GCAAAUUAUGGACAAUAUUUUUGUGGCGUAUGAAAUUCUGUACUCAUUUAAGAAGAAAAGAGGAUUAUCGAAUAAAAAGUUUGCUUUAAAGCUCAACAUGAGCAAAGUCUAUGAUAGAAUUGAGUGGGGGUUUCUUAGAAAAUAUGAUGCGCGGGAUAGGGUUUUGUGAAAAUUGGAUCUUGCUUAUUAAGAGGUGUAUUACUAGCGUCGCAUAUUCAGUUGUGGUUAAUGGAAUAUUUGGGGAGGAAUUUUGCCCUCAAAGAGGUCUAAGACAGGGAGAUCCAUUAAGCCCGUAUUUGUUCUUUAUUUACGCAGAAGGAUUUUCAUGACUGAUCGCACUGGCUAAAAGGGAAGGGAGGCUUGUUGGGACUAAAAUAGGAAGGAGUAAUGUCUCAGUCUCAUAUUUGUUUUUUGCAGAUGACAGCAUUCUAUUUAGAGACACCUCAGUUAAAGGAGCAAGUAAUAUAAAGGAUGUGAUCAACGAGUAUGAAAGUUUCUGGCCAAUUGGUAAAUUUGGAUAAAUCUCUAAUCUAUUUCAGCAGUAAUGUUGACCCAGAGGCACAGUAUAAGUGGGAGAAAUUUUGGGUGUGAGAAUAUCUAAUAACUCGAAAAAAUAUUUAAGGCUACCGACUAUGGUGGGAAGACGAAAAAAGCAUGUAGUUAUGGAUAUCAAGGAGCACUUUAUAAAAAUAUUGAAUAAUUGGAGCGUACGAUUCCUAUCAGCGGGGGGAAAGAGGUAUUAUUGAAAUCCAUUUUACAAGCAAUCCCAAUUUAUGCAAUGCAAUGUUUUAAACUUUCAAUUUCAUUUUGUCAAGAACUAGAGAUUAUUAUGAGUAAAUUCUGGUGGCGUAAUCCAAAAACCAAUAAAGGCAUACAUUAGUGCAAGUGGAGUGAUUUAUGUAUCCCCAAAGCGAAAGGAGGUCUUGGUUUUAAAGAUUUAAAAAAUGUUAAUUUGGCCUUGCUAACGAAAAAGGGUUGGAAAAUUAUUACGCAGCCUCAGUGUCUAUUUGCGCGAGUAAUGAAAGCAAAAUAUUUUCCAAAGGGGGAUUUUAUGAGUGCUGAAUUAGGAUCUUACCCUUCGUUUACCUGGCGAAGAAUUUGGGGUGCAAGACAAAUCCUUAUGGAGGGUAUGGGGUGGCGAGUUGGGAACGGGGAAUCAAUAAACAUCUGGAACGAUAACUGGUUAACGAUGCCUGGAAGUGGAAGAGUACAAUGUCAUCAUAUUGAUAUUAGAUUUACUACUGUCUCUGAUCUAAUUGAUAGGGAUACUACUACCUGGAAACAGGACACCAUCAGAUCCUUAUUCGGAGAGGAGCAACUGAAGAGCAUCCUCUCAAUUCCCCUAGUGAGCAGCAAACCACACGAUCAACUAAUUUGGCAAAGGGAUAAUACCGGGACUUACACAGUUAAAAGUGGUUACAAAUGGAUUAAUACAACGGGGAAUCCUAGAUUAUAUACUGAUAGUCGUACUACUUUCUAUACAAAGCUAUGGGGGCUCAAGAUACCAAGCAAAAUUUGCAUUCUUAUGUGGCGAAUAACAAAUGAAUUCUUGCCCACUUUAUACAACCUAAGUCUUCGAAAAUUGGGAACUAAGAAAAUUUGCCCAGUGUGUCAAACAGAUUAGGAAACGGUAAGCCAUUUGUUCAGGGAUUGCACUUUCACACAGCAGGUUUUGCGACGGAUGGGUGUGACAGAUGCAACAUGAAAUAAUGAACCCAAUUGGAAAAAAAUGGUUAGAAAAAUUAUUUGACAGCCAGAAUGCAGAAAUAAAUACGACUAGAUCGAUCGUAUACUGGGCUGUAUGGUUAAAUCGCAAUAAGAUUCAUCAUGAAGGAAUCAGAGAACAAGCAAAUGAAGUAGUAGCCUUUAUCAAUGCUUACCAUGCGGAAAUUAAUUUUAUGGGACAGAUAUUAAAUGCAAACGGUGUUGACAAAGCUACUUGGGAACCUCCAAAUGAUGAUAUUAUCAAAAUCAAUUUUGAUACAUCAUUCAAUCAGCACACAUGAAGCUCAAAUUUUAGGAAUUUUAGCGCGAAAUAAAGAAGGGCUAGUAAUGGCUGCAUGCACCUUUCCACGGAAGAACAUUCCGGACCCAGUUAUGGCGGAGGCAAGGGCGUGUUUGCAAGUAGUCACUAUGGCAGAGGAAAUGGGCUUCCAAGAUAUUAUUAUGGAAGGAGAUGCAUUGACCAUAAUACGUAAACUAAACUCUUCCGUAGAAGAUAAGUCGAACAUCAAUAGCCUGACUGAAGAAAUAAAAGGGAGAAAACACAAAUUCAGAAGCCUGAGUUUUAAAUAUGUACCAAGGGAGGCCAAUAAAACGGCUCAUGGAAUGGUGCAAGAGGGAAGACAACGCAAGAACCCCCAAUACUGGAUAGAGGAGGCUCCGGCUGCGGUGGUUGGGCUGAUAGAUCACGAUAGAGGAAGAAUAGAUGAUGGUGGUUAACUGGUAAAAUAGAGUCCGGACCUUGUGAUAGUGGGUCAGUCCAAAUAACUCGCUAUUUCAAUGGAGACUGAGAUUUCAAUGGUUGAUCUUUUUGGAGAAGAAUCGUUCUUCAUUUGGCUGGUACACGAGGGAUUUCUCAAGCAACAGAGAGAAGGGGAACUCAGGCCUAUUUUUUUAGUAUUCUGUCGUUUCAUUUCUUGCUUUUGAUUAUUAGCUAUUUUAUUCAGUUUUUUUAGUUCUUCAAAGCACCG
rnacentral:lncRNA from 1 species